GACAGUUUAGCCGAGUGGUCUAAGGCGCCAGAUUUAGGCUCUGGUCCGAAAGGGCGUGGAUUCAAAUCCCACAGCUGUCA
rnacentral:tRNA from 1 species